rnacentral:tRNA from 1 species
GGUGCUUUAGCUCAACUGGAUAGAGCAGCUGCCUUCUAAGCAGCAGGUCGGCGGUUCGAGCCCGUCAAGCAUCA